rnacentral:rRNA from 1 species
UGGGGAAUUUUGGACAAUGGGCGAAAGCCUGAUCCAGCAAUGCCGCGUGUGUGAAGAAGGCCUUCGGGUUGUAAAGCACUUUUGUCCGGAAAGAAAUCCUUGGCUCUAAUACAGUCGGGGGAUGACGGUACCGGAAGAAUAAGCACCGGCUAACUACGUGCCAGCAGCCGCGGUAAUACGUAGGGUGCAAGCGUUAAUCGGAAUUACUGGGCGUAAAGCGUGCGCAGGCGGUUUGCUAAGACCGAUGUGAAAUCCCCGGGCUCAACCUGGGAACUGCAUUGGUGACUGGCAGGCUAGAGUAUGGCAGAGGGGGGUAGAAUUCCACGUGUAGCGGUGAAAUGCGUAGAGAUGUGGAGGAAUACCGAUGGCGAAGGCAGCCCCCUGGGCCAAUACUGACGCUCAUGCACGAAAGCGUGGGGAGCAAACAGGAUUAGAUACCCUGGUAGUCCACGCCCUAAACGAUGUCAACUAGUUGUUGGGGAUUCAUUUCCUUAGUAACGUAGCUAACGCGUGAAGUUGACCGCCUGGGGAGUACGGUCGCAAGAUUAAAACUCAAAGGAAUUGACGGGGUCAUAGCUGUUUCCU